ACAGUCACUGACAUUAGAUACCCCUGUAGUCCAGGGUGUAAACGCUGCAGACUUGGUGUUGGAAGUCCUUUGGGGGCAUUCAGUGCCGGAGAGAAGUUGUUAAGUCUGCUACUUGGGAGUACGUCCGCAAGGAUGAAACUUAAAGGAAUUGGCGGGGGAGCACCGCAACGGGAGGAGCGUGCGGUUUAAUUGGAUUCAACACCGUAAAACUCACCAGGGAAGACUGUUACAUGAAAGCCGAGAUGAAGACUCUGCUAGAUUUUCAG
rnacentral:rRNA from 1 species